CCCUGAGCCUGACUCCUCCCUUGUCUCAGCCCCUUCAAUCAGAGUCAGGAAAUAAAAGGCACCUGUGAGCCUCUGCUCUUUCUCUGCCUGCCUCAUGCCCUGUCCCUGCUGUGGCUGCACAUUGUUGCACUAGGGUCAAGGAUUUCCCUCCUGCUCUCCUGCCAUCCCAUUUAAUGCCUAGGCCUAAAGGUGGUCCUCCUGCCAUAUUGACUACUGCUGCUUUGCCUACUUGCCUUUUAGACUUAUUUCCUUUUUUUUUCCUUUCAUUUAUGGUUUUCUAUUGCCUUAUUUGUUGAUCAAUUUGCCCUUGUUUUGCCCAGUUGUGUUUAUUUGCCCGUUUAUUGAACAGCUGGGAUACUUAUUUAUAUGUUGUGAGUUGUUUUCUGUAUUUAUUGCUGAGGGGCUAGGCACUUGUGGUGAGGUCCCUGCACCUUUGCGUGUGAGUAGUUGCACUGGGACACCAUAGACUGCACCAUUGUCUUGUGUGAGGUUUGCUGUGUUUGCUGUGUUCACUGGUGAAUAGCGGUAGCACCCCUAGGCACCCCUCUGUGUAGUCUGCCUCUCACACGUGGCCUCCUCUCCUUUUUCUACUCUUUAGUUUCACUUAAGUUGGGCUGUGUUUUAGCUUUUGUACUUGUCCUUUUUUUAGAAUUUAUAUUCAGGCCUUUUUAGCGUUAAAUGUAAUAAAGUAAUUUAUAAAUUGUCCAUAGUUGUGCUGUUUUCACAAUUUUUUUUCCUUUUUCCGCAGCUCCAGC